AGAAAUCUAUACAGAUGUGUGGAACAACACCAGGUACACUCAUUGCUGUGGUGUUGGUUGUGUUAGCUCCAAUCCACCAGCUGAAUGGAUCAUGUAUGGGAAUGACAAGAUGAUGCAAGAUGACACAGAAGUGCGUUCCAGUGAGCAGUUGUUAAGGUCCCCUAAACUCAGUGGUGGAUGAAGUACAAUUAAGGAAAAGAAAGGUUCCCAGCUGAACUGGGCUGAGGUCAGUGUCCGGUCAAACGGAGUCGGGCCUGUGUGUCUGUGGGGGAGCAGAUGAAGUGGUCAGCGGUGUGACAGUUAGUGGUGAUUCUGACAGCACCAGAUCCAGUGUGGAUUAGAGG